AUUGAACGCUGGCGGCAGGCCUAACACAUGCAAGUCGAACGGUAACAGGAAGAAGCUUGCUUCUUUGCUGACGAGUGGCGGACGGGUGAGUAAUGUCUGGGAAACUGCCUGAUGGAGGGGGAUAACUACUGGAAACGGUAGCUAAUACCGCAUAACGUCGCAAGACCAAAGAGGGGGACCUUCGGGCCUCUUGCCAUCGGAUGUGCCCAGAUGGGAUUAGCCAGUAGGUGGGGUAACGGCUCACCUAGGCGACGAUCCCUAGCUGGUCUGAGAGGAUGACCAGCCACACUGGAACUGAGACACGGUCCAAACUCCUACGGGAGGCAGCAGUGGGGAAUAUUGCACAAUGGGCGCAAGCCUGAUGCAGCCAUGCCGCGUGUAUGAAGAAGGCCUUCGGGUUGUAAAGUACUUUCAGCGGGGAGGAAGGGAGUAAAGUUAAUACCUUUGCUCAUUGACGUUACCCGCAGAAGAAGCACCGGCUAACUCCGUG
rnacentral:rRNA from 1 species